rnacentral:rRNA from 1 species
CGGGUGAGUAACGCGUGGGAAUCUACCCAUCACUACGGAAUAACUCAGGGAAACUUGUGCUAAUACCGUAUACGCCCCUCUUUAAAAGAUCAGGAUUAUGGAUUUCCUGGUUUUUUAUGGGGGGAAAGAUUUAUCGGUGAUGGAUGAGCCCGCGUUGGAUUAGCUAGUUGGUGGGGUAAAGGCCUACCAAGGCGACGAUCCAUAGCUGGUCUGAGAGGAUGAUCAGCCACAUUGGGACUGAGACACGGCCCAAACUCCUACGGGAGGCAGCAGUGGGGAAUAUUGGACAAUGGGCGCAAGCCUGAUCCAGCCAUGCCGCGUGUGUGAUGAAGGCCUUAGGGUUGUAAAGCACUUUCACCGGAGAAGAUAAUGACGGUAUCCGGAGAAGAAGCCCCGGCU